rnacentral:rRNA from 1 species
UACGAAGGGGGGCUAGCGUUGCUCGGAAUCACUGGGCGUAAAGGGUGCGUAGGCGGGUCUUUUAAGUCAGGGGUGAAAUCCUGGAGCUCAACUCCAGAACUGCCUUUGAUACUGGCGACCUUGAGUCCGGGAGAGGUGAGUGGAACUGCGAGUGUAGAGGUGAAAUUCGUAGAUAUUCGCAAGAACACCAGUGGCGAAGGCGGCUCACUGGCCCGAUACUGACGCUGAGGCACGAAAGCGUGGGGGAGCAAACAGG